GAUCGUCUUUUUCCAAUUGACGGGGAAAUGUAGCUGCUACCGCCUAGCGGCGACCGUGAUAUGCUUAGGAAUCUGCCUAUUAGUGGGGGACAACAUCUCGAAAGGGAAGCUAAUACCGCAUACGUCCUACGGGAGAAAGCAGGGGAUCUUCGGACCUUGCGCUAAUAGAUGAGCCUAAGUCGGAUUAGCUAGUUGGUGGGGUAAAGGCCUACCAAGGCCCCUUAUAAAGUAGCGGGACUGAAAGGAUGAUCCCCCCCACUGGGAACGGAGACACGGCCCACACUCCAUCAGGAGAUAGCAAUGGUGAAUAUUGGACAUUGGGGGUAACCAGUUCCCCACAUGUCUCGAGUGUCACAAUGGCUUAUUAUUUUCCAAAACACUUUAAGCGGGGAGGAGGUUCUUUUAGUUAAUACCUAGGAAUAGGGGGGUUUCCUCCCAAAAAAACCCCCGGUAAAUUUUGUCCCACCACCCGGGGUAAUACAGAGGGGGCGAGCUUUAUUGGGAUUUUUGGGGGUAAAAGCGUGGUUGGGGGGUUUUUUAAUUCGGAUGGAAAAUCCCCGAGUUUAACUUGGAAAUUCCAUUCAAUACUGGUGAGUUAGAGUAUGGGGGAGGAUGGUAAAUUUCCAGGUGUAGCGGGAAAAUGCGUAGAGUUUGGGGGGAAUCCCGAGGGGGAGGGCACCCUUUGGCCCUAAUACUGCCGUUGGGGUAAAAAACCAUGGGGACCAACCAGGUUUAGAUCCCCGGGUAGUCCAUCCCGUAAACGAUGUUUAUUAGCCGUUGGGGCCUUUGGGGUUUUAGGGGCCCAGUUAACCCGAAAAGUAGCCCCCCUGGGGAGUACGGUCCCAAGAUUAAAACUCAAAUAAAUUGACGGGGGCCCCCCCAAGCCGGUGGAGCCCAGUUUUUU
rnacentral:rRNA from 1 species